rnacentral:sRNA from 1 species
GAUAUAAGGCACUUUGGCUGUGACACUGGCAUCCCCUUGGUCACUAGGGUGGAUCCGGCUCAACUGGCUGAAUGGGUGGUCCCCUUCUACCCUCACUAUUC